rnacentral:rRNA from 1 species
ACGGGAGGCAGCAGUGGGGAAUAUUGGGCAAUGGAGGAAACUCUGACCCAGCAACGCCGCGUGGAGGAAGAAGGUUUUCGGAUCGUAAACUCCUGUCCUUGGAGACGAGUAGAAGACGGUAUCCAAGGAGGAAGCCCCGGCUAACUACGUGCCAGCAGCCGCGGUAAUACGUAGGGGGCAAGCGUUGUCCGGAAUAAUUGGGCGUAAAGGGCGCGUAGGCGGCUCGGUAAGUCUGGAGUGAAAGUCCUGCUUUUAAGGUGGGAAUUGCUUUGGAUACUGUCGGGCUUGAGUGCAGGAGAGGUUAGUGGAAUUCCCAGUGUAGCGGUGAAAUGCGUAGAGAUUGGGAGGAACACCAGUGGCGAAGGCGACUAACUGGACUGUAACUGACGCUGA